GUGGUGAAGGGCUCGGUCCCUCUCUUCUGCGGCAGCUGCUCUGGUCCCACACCUCACUUCGGGAAUCACACCAGUGCUGGAACCAUGGGCUCCCAAGGCAGGAAUGACUUCUGGAAAUACUGUGCUGUGUGCCCCUGGUCCUGCUCAGGAGAGCUGUCUUGUUCCUGGCAGCGCCCCACUGCCACCCUCAAAUCCUAGGCCUGGAUGCAUGACUCCCACAUGGUAAGCCGGUCCUGGAAACAUACCAUGGUGCCUCUUUUUGCCCUCAUCAUACAGGGCUGGGGCUUUCUGGGAAACUGAGGCGGUACAAAGACGCCUCCCCACUAAACCCCAAUUCUUGCAAUUAAGUCAGAAAGAUUUCAGACGUGUCGCUCAGAGCGACAGGCAGGAGUUUAUUGAAAAGAUAAGAAAAAGAAAAGGAGAUACUUCCAAGGAGAGAGUGGGUCCUCUCAGAGAAGAAAGGGACAGCAUGCCUCUCCUGCCCCCCCAGUUUUAUUGGGGAUCCUGGAGAAGUUUCUAGAGAGUCCUGCCCAGGUCCACCCCUUGACAUUUGACUGAUAGUAGAAUGACAUCAAACUUUCAAGUCCCCACCGCCAUGACAACUCUAGGUCACUUUGGCCCAUGCUGACCAGUUUUAAUUGGAUUCUUAAUCAUAAAUUGUUACAGAUUUUAUGGCUAGGAGAAAUUAUCCUUAUCUCCCUGAGUUCCAGGAUCUGGUUUGUGUAAAGGGUCACAAAAGUGUCCCCCUUCAGGGUAACUUGUGUUCCUCUUAUCAAUAUUAUUUUGGGCCUGCAUUUCUCCGGCAGAUAACAGGUAGUUUGCUGAGGAAUGUGACAUAUCCUGUCUACUUAAGCCAGGCAGGGCUGCAGGUAAAUUGCUUUUUGGAAAAGAAAGCAUGUGGGGGUCAGUACUGUGGGCCAAGAUUAUAGAAUUAUUCCCUUAACCUCAUGUUCCCACCACUCACACCUGUUUUUCCCCUGUUAGGCUGACUGUUCCAGUACCUUCCAUAUGCUAGGACCUGCCUGGCCCUUGCAAAGAUGGACAAAAAUACAUACCCCACUCUUCCACUUGUCCUUGGAGUCCCAGUUCAUAGUACUCAGGCCAGGGUGGCUGAGUCUUGUUCUCGGCGGACACAACAUCUUUGUUUGUAUGUGGUGCUGAGGAUCGAACCCGGGCCGCACGCAUGCCAGGCGAGCGUGCUACCGCUUGAGCCACAUCCCCAGCCCCAGAAAUUUUUGAUAAAGCAAAAAAGUAAAUAUGUCCCCUGACUCCUGACUCCCAAAGAUAAUCCCUGGAGCAUUUUGGGACCGUCUUUAGGGUUACUUUCCUGCACAAACCCUCUCUCCACGGACCUUCACAGAAUAGAAUCUCAUUCCGUAUACUGUCAUACCUUGGAUGUCCUGAAUCUCUUUCUCUGUCAAUAAAGAUAUUUUAGUGUUUUUUAAAAAAGUCAAUUUCUACAAAAUUGCUACACUUUAGCUGCCUUCCUACGAUGGCUAUUUGCAUUUUUAAUAUUAUAAACAACCAUUUGAUGACUGGGUGGUCAUCAUUGAGUUCUUGUCCAUUUAUUUCUUCAAAAUAAAUUCCUUGACAAAGAUCAA